rnacentral:rRNA from 1 species
GACGAACGCUGGCGGCGUGCUUAACACAUGCAAGUCGAACGAAGAGCGAUGGAAGCUUGCUUCUAUCAAUCUUAGUGGCGAACGGGUGAGUAACGCGUAAUCAACCUGCCCUUCAGAGGGGGACAACAGUUGGAAACGACUGCUAAUACCGCAUACGAUCUGACCUCGGCAUCGAGGAUGGAUGAAAGGUGGCCUCUAUUUAUAAGCUAUCACUGAAGGAGGGGAUUGCGUCUGAUUAGCUAGUUGGAGGGGUAACGGCCCACCAAGGCGAUGAUCAGUAGCCGGUCUGAGAGGAUGAACGGCCACAUUGGGACUGAGACACGGCCCAGGCUCCUACGGGAGGCAGCAGUGGGGAAUCUUCCGCAAUGGACGAAAGUCUGACGGAGCAACGCCGCGUGAGUGAUGACGGCCUUCGGGUUGUAAAGCUCUGUUAAUCGGGACGAAAGGCCUUCUUGCGAAUAGUUAGAAGG